GACGAACUGUUCUAACGUUAUUCGGAAUCACUGGGCUUAAAGGGCGCGUAGGCUGUUUGUUAAGCGGGGUCUGAAAUCCCUCGGCUCAACCGAGGAACUGGGCUUCGAACUGGCAGACUAGAGUGAAGUAGGGGUAAGCGGAACUUGCGGUGGAGCGGUGAAAUGCUUUGAUAUCGCAAGGAACACCGGCGACGAAGGCGGCUUACUGGGCUUCAACUGACGCUUAAGCGCGAAAGCUAGGGUAGCGAACGGGAUUAGAUACCCGCGUAGUCCCUGAGCGGGCUGG
rnacentral:rRNA from 1 species